rnacentral:misc_RNA from 1 species
UACGUAGGGGGCAAGCGUUGUCCGGAAUUAUUGGGCGUAAAGCGCGCGCAGGCGGUUCCUUAAGUCUGAUGUGAAAGCCCACGGCUCAACCGAGGCGGGUCAUUGGAAACUGGGGAACUUGAGUCCAGAAGAGGAGCGUGGAAUUCCACGUGUAGCGGUGGAAUGCGUAGAUAUGUGGAGGAACACCGGUGGCGAAGGCGACUCUCUGGUCUGUAACUGACGCUGAGGCGCGAAAGCGUGGGGAGCGAACAGG